UCAUCUCCGGGGGUAGAGCACUGUUUCGGCUAGGGGGCCAUCCCGGCUUACCAACCCGAUGCAAACUACGAAUACCGGAGAAUGUUAUCACGGGAGACACACGGCGGGUGCUAACGUCCGUCGUGAAGAGGGAAACAACCCAGACCGCCAGCUAAGGUCCCAAAGUCAUGGUUAAGUGGGAAACGAUGUGGGAAGGCCCAGACAGCCAGGAUGUUGGCUUAGAAGCAGCCAUCAUUUAAAGAAAGCGUAAUAGCUCACUGGUCGAGUCGGCCUGCGCGGAAGAUGUAACGGGGCUAAACCAUGCACCGAAGCUGCGGCAGCGACACUAUGUGUUGUUGGGUAGGGGAGCGUUCUGUAAGCCGCUGAAGGUGGACUGUGAGGUCUGCUGGAGGUAUCAGAAGUGCGAAUGCUGACAUAAGUAACGAUAAAGCGGGUGAAAAGCCCGCUCGCCGGAAGACCAAGGGUUCCUGUCCAACGUUAAUCGGGGCAGGGUGAGUCGACCCCUAAGGCGAGGCUGAAAAGCGUAGUCGAUGGGAAACAGGUUAAUAUUCCUGUACUUGGUGUUACUGCGAAGGGGGGACGGAGAAGGCUAGGUUAUCCGGGCGACGGUUGUCCCGGUUUAAGCGUGUAGGCUUGCAUUCCAGGCAAAUCCGGAAUGCUUUAAGGCUGAGGCGUGAUGACGAGUCACUACGGUGAUGAAGUAACUGAUGCCCUGCUUCCAGGAAAAGCCUCUAAGCUCCAGGUAACACGAAAUCGUACCCCAAACCGACACAGGUGGUCAGGUAGAGAAUACCAAGGCGCUUGAGAGAACUCGGGUGAAGGAACUAGGCAAAAUGGUGCCGUAACUUCGGGAGAAGGCACGCUGGCAUUAGGUGAAGGGACUUGCUCCCGGAGCUGAAGCCAGUCGAAGAUACCAGCUGGCUGCAACUGUUUAUUAAAAACACAGCACUGUGCAAACACGAAAGUGGACGUAUACGGUGUGACGCCUGCCCGGUGCCGGAAGGUUAAUUGAUGGGGUUAUCCGUAAGGAGAAGCUCUUGAUCGAAGCCCCGGUAAACGGCGGCCGUAACUAUAACGGUCCUAAGGUAGCGAAAUUCCUUGUCGGGUAAGUUCCGACCUGCACGAAUGGCGUAAUGAUGGCCAGGCUGUCUCCACCCGAGACUCAGUGAAAUUGAAAUCGCUGUGAAGAUGCAGUGUACCCGCGGCAAGACGGAAAGACCCCGUGAACCUUUACUAUAGCUUGACACUGAACAUUGAGCCUUGAUGUGUAGGAUAGGUGGGAGGCUUUGAAGCGUGGACGCCAGUCUGCGUGGAGCCAACCUUGAAAUACCACCCUUUAAUGUUUGAUGUUCUAACGUAGGCCCGUAAUCCGGGCUGCGGACAGUGUCUGGUGGGUAGUUUGACUGGGGCGGUCUCCUCCCAAAGUGUAACGGAGGAGCACGAAGGUUGGCUAAUCCUGGUCGGACAUCAGGAGGUUAGUGCAAUGGCAUAAGCCAGCUUGACUGCGAGAGUGACGGCUCGAGCAGGUGCGAAAGCAGGUCAUAGUGAUCCGGUGGUUCUGAAUGGAAGGGCCAUCGCUCAACGGAUAAAAGGUACUCCGGGGAUAACAGGCUGAUACCGCCCAAGAGUUCAUAUCGACGGCGGUGUUUGGCACCUCGAUGUCGGCUCAUCACAUCCUGGGGCUGAAGUAGGUCCCAAGGGUACGGCUGUUCGCCGUUUAAAGUGGUACGCGAGCUGGGUUUAGAACGUCGUGAGACAGUUCGGUCCCUAUCUGCCGUGGGCGCUGGAGAAUUGAGGGGGGUUGCUCCUAGUACGAGAGGACCGGAGUGAACGCACCACUGGUGUUCGGGUUGUCAUGCCAAUGGCAUUGCCCGGUAGCUAAGUGCGGAAAAGAUAAGUGCUGAAAGCAUCUAAGCACGAAACUUGCCCCGAGAUGAGUUCUCCCUGACUCCUUGAGAGUCCUGAAGGGACGUUGAAGACGACGACGUUGAUAGGCCGGAUGUGUAAGUGCAGCGAUGCAUUGAGCUAACCGGUACUAAUGACCCGUGAGGCUUAACCUU
rnacentral:rRNA from 1 species